rnacentral:rRNA from 1 species
AGAACGAACGCUGGCGGCAGGCUUAACACAUGCAAGUCGAACGCCCCGCAAGGGGAGUGGCAGACGGGUGAGUAACGCGUGGGAACCUACCCAGAACUUCGGAAUAACACAUGGAAACGUGUGCUAAUACCGGAUACGCCCUACGGGGGAAAGAUUUAUCGGUUUUGGAUGGGCCCGCGUAAGAUUAGCUAGUUGGUGAGGUAAUGGCUCACCAAGGCGACGAUCUUUAGCUGGUCUGAGAGGAUGAUCAGCCACACUGGGACUGAGACACGGCCCAGACUCCUACGGGAGGCAGCAGUGGGGAAUAUUGGACAAUGGGCGCAAGCCUGAUCCAGCCAUGCCGCGUGAGUGAUGAAGGCCUAGGGUUGUAAAGCUCUUUCAGUAGGGAAGAUAAUGACGGUACCUACAGAAGAAAGCCCCGGCUAAACUUCGUGCCAGCAGCCGC